rnacentral:rRNA from 1 species
UACGUAGGGUGCAAGCGUUGUCCGGAAUUAUUGGGCGUAAAGAGCUCGUAGGCGGUCUGUCGCGUCGGCUGUGAAAACUCGGGGCUCAACUCCGAGCUUGCAGUCGAUACGGGCAGGCUAGAGUUCGGCAGGGGAGACUGGAAUUCCUGGUGUAGCGGUGAAAUGCGCAGAUAUCAGGAGGAACACCGGUGGCGAAGGCGGGUCUCUGGGCCGAUACUGACGCUGAGGAGCGACAGCGUGGGGAGCGAACAGG